UACGUAGGGCGCAAGCGUUGUCCGGAAUUAUUGGGCGUAAAGAGCUCGUAGGCGGUCUGUUACGUCCGCUGUGAAAACCCGGGGCUUAACCCCUGGCUUGCAGUGGAUACGGACAGACUAGAGGUAGGUAGGGGAGAAUGGAAUUCCCGGUGUAGCGGUGAAAUGCGCAGAUAUCGGGAGGAACACCGGUGGCGAAGGCAGGUCUCUGGGCCAUAACUGACGCUGAGAAGCGAAAGCCAGGGGAGCAAACGGG
rnacentral:rRNA from 1 species